rnacentral:rRNA from 1 species
UACGUAGGGUGCAAGCGUUAAUCGGAAUUACUGGGCGUAAAGCGUGCGCAGGCGGUUUUGUAAGUCUGUCGUGAAAUCCCCGGGCUCAACCUGGGAAUUGCGAUGGAGACUGCAAGGCUAGAAUCUGGCAGAGGGGGGGUAGAAUUCCACGUGUAGCAGUGAAAUGCGUAGAGAUGUGGAGGAAUACCGAUGGCGAAGGCAGCCCCCUGGGAUAACACUGACGCUCAUGCACGAAAGCGUGGGGAGCAAACAGG